ACGCUGGCGGCGUGCCUAAUACAUGCAAAGUCGAACGGUCUUUCUAUGGAAGCUUGCUUCCACUGAGAAGAUAGUGGCGAACGGGUGAGUAACACGUGGGUAACCUGCCCAUAAGAGGGGGGAUAACAUCCGGAAACGGGUGCUAAUACCGCAUAGUUUUCUUGAUCGCAUGAUUGAGAAAGGAAAGACGGCCUUUGUGCUGUCGCUUAUGGAUGGACCCGCGGCGUAUUAGUUAGUUGGUGAGGUAACGGCUCACCAAGACGAUGAUACGUAGCCGACCUGAGAGGGUGAUCGGCCACAUUGGGACUGAGACACGGCCCAAACUCCUACGGGAGGCAGCAGUAGGGAAUCUUCCGCAAUGGACGAAAGUCUGACGGAGCAACGCCGCGUGAGUGAAGAAAAGGUUUUCGGAUCGUAAAACUCUGUUGUCAGAGAAGAACAAGUUGGAGAGUAACUGCUCCAGCCUUGACGGUAUCUGACCAGGAAGCCACGGCUAACUACGUGCCAGCCGCUGC
rnacentral:rRNA from 1 species